AUUGCAUCAGAUAUGUUUUGGAAACGUCAACCGAAAGAACGCGCUGAAAUAGCCACACUUAAUAUCGAAAACAUUCGUUCCAUUGUGUUAACUCAAAGUAUAUAUCGGAAAAAAUAUCUCAGCAAAAAGGCAUCAUCUGACAGAUCACCAGAUUUCACCUCCCUGGACUCGUUUUUGUGGGUUUAUCUAAAGAGCAAGGUUUUCGCCAACCAGCCUCAAACUAGUGAUGAGCUCAAGGCAAACAUUCGUGCUGAAAUCGACGCCAAAACACCAGAGAUGCUCGGAAAGUUAAUGGCAAGAGCAGAAAAAAGGAGUCAUUAUGUAAUUUCUAAUAAAGGUAGCAACUUGAUUGAUAUUCUUUUCAAAAACUAGUCCAGAAAAAAUUUAUUCAAGGUUUACAUACCGUUUGUGCCAAUUACCUGCAAUAUCAUAUAUGCCACGACGUCUUCGAACUGAUUGGAACUUACCAGUGUGUCUUUUGAUCUGGUAGACCCUCGAUGGAGAAAAUAUUCACAUCCUAGAAGAUAUCCGUGAGAAACGCAACUAAAAACAUCGUUGUCAGUGUCAAAACCAUCUUGGGUAGCAUGAAACGGAAUAGAAGGAUCUCUCGUUAUUGCCGCUAUAACCACUCGCCUACAACAACGAAUAUAAGCUGGGAUGAUCAAAUAGAUGUAGAGAGCUCCACAUUGAUUCAACUUUGGAUUCUACAAAAGAUAAUUAAAAUUAUACAGUCAUUUUUAAUAUUAAUGAAAGAUAUUUAGUAGAAUAGAGCAGCUUUCAACUAAAGCGAUAGCGAAGCGAAUGCGUUUUAGUUUUUUUGUAUUUUUAUUUGCAUAUAGAAAGACAAAAAACUUUUGGUGAGAACUCCUAGGGAGAGCUCAGUGCCCACCAUAAUAGUUUGUAAGCAU